rnacentral:rRNA from 1 species
CAGCCGCCGCGGUAAUUCGGAGGGUGCGAGCGUUGUUCGGAAUUACUGGGCGUAAAGCGCGUGUAGGCGGCCUUGCAAGUCAGGCGUGAAAGCCCUCGGCUUAACCGGGGAAGUGCGUCUGAAACUGCUUGGCUUGAGUACGGGAGAGGGAGGCGGAAUUCCCAGUGUAGAGGUGAAAUUCGUAGAUAUUGGGAGGAACACCGGUGGCGAAAGCGGCCUCCUGGACCGAUACUGACGCUGAGACGCGAAAGCGUGGGGAGCAAACAGGAUUAGAUACCCUGGUAGUCCACGCGGUAAACGAUGGGCACUAGGUGUGGGGGGUAUCCACUCCUCCCGUGCCGAAGCUAACGCAUUAAGUGCCCCGCCUGGGGAGUACGGCCGCAAGGUUAAAACUCAAAGGAAUUGACGG